rnacentral:rRNA from 1 species
UACAGAGGAGGCAAGCGUUAUUCGGAAUUAUUGGGCGUAAAGGGCGCGUAGGCGGCUUGGCAAGUGGAUGGUGAAAUCCCUCGGCUUAACCGAGGAACUGCCAUCCAGACUGCUUUGCUUGAGGCCGGGAGAGGUGAGUGGAAUUCCCAGUGUAGCGGUGAAAUGCGUAGAUAUUGGGAGGAACACCAGUGGCGAAGGCGGCUUCCUGGCCUGUUCUUGACGCUGAGGCGCGAAAGCUAGGGUAGCAAACGGG